GCGAGAAACCUUAGCAAUGUGCGAAAGCACGACUAGGUUAAUCCGAGUGGUUCCUGCUAAAGGAACCUUUUGUCAGUCGUAAAACCACAGAUGAAUAAGGGGUGGGCAAGUCUGGUGUCAGCCGCCGCGGUAAUACCAGCACCUCGAGUGGUCAGGAGGUUUAUUGGGCCUAAAGCAUCCGUAGCCGGCUUUGCAAGUCUCCGGUUAAAUCCAACUGCUCAACAGAUGGGCUGCCGGAGAUACUACAAAGCUAGGGAGCGGGAGAGGUAGACGGUAUUCUGUGGGUAGGGGUAAAAUCCACUGAUCCAUAGAGGACCACCAGUGGCGAAGGCGGUCUACCAGAACGCGUUCGACGGUGAGGGAUGAAAGCUGGGGGAGCAAACCGGAUUAGAUACCCCCGUAGUCC
rnacentral:rRNA from 1 species